rnacentral:snRNA from 1 species
GUGCUCGCUUCAGCAGCACAUGGACUAAAACUGGAACGAUAUGGGGAGGAUUAGCAUGGCCCCUGCGCAGGGAUGACACACAAAUUUGUGAAGUGUUCUAUAUUUUU